rnacentral:lncRNA from 1 species
ACAUAAAUAAGUUAAAUAAAUAGUGGAUUAGAUGGGGGUAAAUGACAAGGAGAAAAAUGAGACUAGUAAAGGGAGUUGGGAGUAUGGGAGGGAGGGAUUUGCAAUUUUAGAUUAGAUAAACAGAAGGGCCUCAGCAAUGAGGUAACACUGGAGCCAAGACCUGAAGGCGAUGAGGCAGCAAGCCACACAGUGUGGGGAAAGAGUAUAAUAGAGGAGAAACCAGCUAGUGCAAAGGCCCUGCGGCCCAAGUGUAUCUGGCAUGGAUAGGAACUGGCCAGGAGGCAAAUGUGACUGGAGUAAGAGAGGAAUGGAAGAUGGGUCUAAGAGGUACCAGGUAUGCACUCUGAGACAUUGAGAGGACUUGGGCUUUUACUUUUCCACUGGAGGAGUUGGAGUAGGCCAGAGACAUGCACUGACUUAAAUUUCUGGCUGCCAUAUUGAGAGCAGACUGAAUAGGGGCAUAGGCAGAAGUGGGGAGACCAGUGAGGGGGUUGUUGCAAUAAGCCUGGUAGCAGAUGAGGGGGCUUGGAGAGAGCACAGCGAUGGAGGUGGUGAGACCUGUUAGAAGUGGGGGUGUAUUUAGAAAUGCCAGGAGCAUUUACUGAGCCUUUACAUCCAGCUUUUGGGGGUGUAUCCGAGAGGGAGGGCGGAGCCAACUCUGAAGUCUUUGUGUGAACAGCUGAAGGAGGGGGUGCUGCACAGGAAUGGGAGGCCCAGGAGCAGUUUUAGCAUCUUAGUUUUGAGGUGCCUGUCAGGGGAGUGGUCUGGGCUGGAAGUGUAGCCUCGGGAGGUAUUAGUGUCGGGAUGUCGCGUGUCAUGUGAGAUGGCCUUGGUCAUGGGCCUUUCAGUGGACUCUAAAAGCGCUGGACCCUGUCCUGUGUCACCUUGCCCUCCCACAAACCCGGAGGAAGUGCUAGAAUCACCCCCAUUAUACAGAAAGGAACACUGAAACCCACAAGGGCCAGGGCCACACUGCAGAAACACUGGCAGGAAAGAGCAGAUUUGGGAUGCCCACUGACAUCUGUCUUAUUUCAACCCUCGGGCUUUUAACCCACACCACACUAUUGCAACUUCUUUUAAGCCUCAUGGUUUUUCCUCCUUCCUUCAUUCUUUCCGUUCUUUUUUAUCUUCAAGAUUCUUACUUUUGGCUUUCAGGUAAAAGCUUUGGGAGAGGUCUAACCGUAGUUGGAAUUAACACUUGACCUUUAAAAAAUUCUUAAAUUUUUGGGGGGCUGGGCAUAUGGCUCAAGCGGUAAUGUGCUCUCCUGGCAUGCACGGGGCACAGGGUUCAAUCCUCAGCAUCACAUAAAAAUAAAAUAAAGAUGUUGUGUCCACCGAAAACUAAAAAAAAAAAUAUUAAAAAAUUCUCUCUCUCUUUCUAUCUUAAAAAAAUUCUUAAAUUUUUUAUUAUGCAGAUUUUUAUACAUGUGAAGAGUGGAUAGUAUGAUAAAUGAUACCAAUCCAUCACCUCAUUGUUUUUGUAGUAAAAUGGGGAUGCAAUACCCACUUCAUACUGGGAGGAAUGAGUAGGAAGUCCAGAGUUGUCCAGUGUCCACAAGUGUCAGCAUGUGGGAGAUCACCUUUCUUAUCUACCUCUACCUCCCCACACUCCUUGUCCCCACAACAGAUCGUUAUGAAACAAAUCUCAAACAUCAUUGCGACUUCAUCUUUAAAUUCAGUUAAUAUCUUUAUUACUUGAUUUAAUUAAAAAUCAUUACUCUGUCAGGUUGUGUGCUGUUUUUUUUUCUUUAAUUGGUUGUUCAGUGUGUUAUGUUCUAGUAAAUUCCUACUCAUCUUGCAGAGCUCAGUUCAAAUCUUACCUCUUCCUGGAAGUCCUCCAGGAUCUUUUUUUCCCCCAGGAGUUCAAUGGCUCCUUACUUGGGGUUCAGAUUGUAUAUCUCCCUCACAGCACUCACUUUUUUAAAACUUGGUUUCUUUUCAUUUCCUUUUCUUUCUCUUUCUUUCUUUACUUUCCUUCUCCUCCCUCCUUUCCUCCCUUCCUCCCUUCCUCCCUCUCUCCCUCCCUCCUUCCCUCUUUUCUCCCUUUCCUUCCCUUCCCUCCCUUCCUCCCUCCUUUCUUUCUUCUUUCUUUUUUUUCUUUUUUGGUAGCAGAGAUUGAACCUAGGGAAGCUUAACCACUGAGUCACAUUCCUAGUUCUUUUUAUUUUGAGGUCUCGCUAAGUUGCUUAGGGCCUCACUAAGUUGCUGAGGCUGGCUUUGAACUUGUGACCCUCCUGCCUCAGUCUCCCAAGUUGUGGGGAUUAUAGGUGUGCACCAACAUGCCCAGCUGAUUUCUUUUAUUUUAUAUGAAGAGAAAGUAUAAUACAAUGCUCAAGAGCUUCCAGAUCAAAUUAACUUGGAUUAAAAUUCUGGAUCCACUUACAUCCUGAGUUUAAUUUCUUGGGAUCUCAUUGUUUUUGUAGUAAAAUGGGGAUGCAAUACCCACUUCAUACUGGGAGGAAUGAGUAAUAAGCCCAGAGUUCUUUGCACACGACACACCAGGCACAUAGUAAGUAUUCCUUCUAGAAGUUACAUGUCGCACUCACCAUGCUGAGCCGGAGGGCAG